GAUCCUGGCUCAGGAUGAACGCUGGCGGCGUGCUUAACACAUGCAAGUCGAGCGAAGCACUUUGGAAAGAUUCUUCGGAUGAUUUCCUUUGUGACUGAGCGGCGGACGGGUGAGUAACGCGUGGGUAACCUGCCUCAUACAGGGGGAUAACAGUUAGAAAUGACUGCUAAUACCGCAUAAGACCACGGUACCGCAUGGUACAGUGGUAAAAACUCCGGUGGUAUGAGAUGGACCCCGCGU
rnacentral:rRNA from 1 species